UACGGGGGGGAGCAAGCGUUGUUCGGAUUUACUGGGCGUAAAGGGCGCGUAGGCGGUCAGCACAAGUCAGUUGUGAAAUCUCCGGGCUUAACUCGGAAAGGUCAACUGAUACUGUGCGACUAGAGUGCGGAAGGGGCAACUGGAAUUCUCGGUGUAGCGGUGAAAUGCGUAGAUAUCGGGAGGAACACCAGUGGCGAAGGCGGCUUCCUGGCCUGUUCUUGACGCUGAGGCGCGAAAGCUAGGGGAGCAAACGGGG
rnacentral:rRNA from 1 species